UACGUAGGGGGCUAGCGUUGUCCGGAAUCAUUGGGCGUAAAGAGCGUGUAGGCGGCCCGGUAAGUCCGCUGUGAAAGUCGGGGGCUCAACCCUCGAAUGCCGGUGGAUACUGUCGGGCUAGAGUGCGGAAGAGGCGAGUGGAAUUCCUGGUGUAGCGGUGAAAUGCGUAGAUAUCAGGAGGAACACCGGUGGUGCAAACGGCUUUCUGGACCGUAACUGACGCUGAGACACGAAAGCGUGGGGAGCAAACAGG
rnacentral:rRNA from 1 species